rnacentral:misc_RNA from 1 species
UUUGCAAUACAGAAUAUUCAAAUCUUGUAUGUCCUUGCAGGAGUCAAUUGUGAUAGCUAUUAGAAAAGGUUCAAAUGUGCCAAAACCAGUAGCUCUUCAAGGAAAUGCAUAUGAUAAAGAGUAUGAACUACACAUAAAAACUUACAGCAAGGGCGCGGAGUUUCAUAUUACUUCUGUGAAUACAGAAAAAGAACAUAUUCCCUUUGUCUAGGUUGGUGUUUUGCCAGGAACUUUCUGUGCAAUCCAUCCUAAACCAUCGUAUAAGCCGUCACCAGUCAGGGCACUGCAGGCUUGUAUAUGCCAAUCGUGGUUCUUAAUGCUAUGAAGGGAAAGUGCAUCAGUUAUCUCUGCAGGGGUCAUGGCAUCUUUAAGAUCCUGUUUGUUUGCAAACACUAGUACAACUGCAUUUUGCAGAUCCUCGUGUGGGAGCAACCUGAACAGCUCGUCUUUCAUUGUGGAAAUACGGGCUCUGUCACUGCUAUCGAUAACUACAAUGACAGCAUGAGUUCCGCGAUAGUAAGUUGCCCAUGAUGUCCUCAGUCUUUCUUGCCCACCAAGAUCCCAGACCUCAAAUCGUAUGUUCUUAUAAACAAGCUCCUCAACGUUACUACCAACAGUAGGAUUGGUAGUAACCACCUCACCCAGAUGCAACUUAUAAAGCGUCGUCGUUUUUCCAGCAUUAUCCAAUCCAACAACAAUGAUCUUGUACUCUUUCGCCGGAAACAUCAUGAACCAGAAUCUCGAUACAAAACCUCCCAUAACUUUUACAGAUCUGAUCUAAAACAAAAACCGAUCAAAGUUGAUUGAUUCAACUUUCAGGUUCCAAUGAAAUCGUUGAUAAUCGGAACUAGAAUCGACGGUGAAAAUUCGUGAUGAGUACUCGAAUUUUUUAUCAGAGAAUUCCCUUUUUGACGAAGA